CUACGGGAGGCAGCAGUGGGGAAUCUUGCACAAUGGGGGAAACCCUGAUGCAGCGACGCCGCGUGAACGAUGAAGCCCUUCGGGGUGUAAAGUUCUUUCGACGGGGACGAUAAUGACGGUACCCGGAGAAGAAGCUGCGGCUAACUACGUGCCAGCAGCCGCGGUAAUACGUAGGCAGCAAGCGUUGUUCGGAAUUACUGGGCGUAAAGAGUGCGUAGGCGGUUAACUAAGUUUGGUGUGAAAUCUCCCGGCUUAACUGGGAGGGUGCGCCGAAAACUGGCUAGCUAGAGUGUGGGAGAGGAUAGUGGAAUUCCUGGUGUAGCGGUGAAAUGCGUAGAUAUCAGGAGGAACACCUGCGGUGUAGACGGCUAUCUGGACCAUGACUGACGCUGAGGCACGAAAGCGUGGGUAGCAAACAGGAUUAGAUACCCCGGUAGU
rnacentral:rRNA from 1 species